rnacentral:rRNA from 1 species
GACGAACGCUGGCGGCGUGCUUAACACAUGCAAGUCGAACGGAAAGGCCCUGCUUUUGUGGGGUGCUCGAGUGGCGAACGGGUGAGUAACACGUGAGUAACCUGCCCUUGACUUUGGGAUAACUUCAGGAAACUGGGGCUAAUACCGGAUAGGAGCUCCUGCUGCAUGGUGGGGGUUGGAAAGUUUCGGCGGUUGGGGAUGGACUCCGGGCUUAUCAUCGUGUUGGUGGGGUAGUGGCUUACCAAGGCGUUGACGGGUAGCCGGCCUGAGAGGGUGACCGGCCACAUUGGGACUGAGAUACGGCCCAGACUCCUAAGGGAGGCAGCAGUGGGGAAUAUUGCACAAUGGGCGGAAGCCUGAUGCAGCAACGCCGCGUGCGGGAUGACGGCCUUCGGGUUGUAAACCGCUUUCGCCUGUGACGAAGCGUGAGUGACGGUAAUGGGUAAAGAAGCACCGGCUAACUACGUG